rnacentral:tmRNA from 1 species
GGGGGCGAAAUUGGUCUCGACAGGGAGAGCCGUCGUACAGGGGAAGCAUGCCGAGAUUGCUGGGGUCUCGUAAAACACCGGCAAAAAAACAAACGGCGAAAAUCUCGCAAUAGCUGCUUAAUGCAGCAGGGUUUUCCGAUUCUUGUCAGGGGUUUCGGUAAAACCCUCAUUAUCCUGACUGCCUGCAUAUUAAAGUCGCGGAAUAUGCAAUAAGACAAGCGGCAAAACUCUCUUUAAGUUGCACUGCGCGCGAAGAGAGUUAACAGGCAGUGCUAAGCAUGUAGAAGGACUGUGCCACUCUCUUUGGACGCGGGUUCAACUCCCGCCGC